rnacentral:tRNA from 1 species
GCGAGAGUGGCGAAAUUGGCAGACGCACUAGACUUAGGAUCUAGCGGUUAAACCGUGGGGGUUCGAGUCCCCCCUUUCGCACCA